GAAUUGCUUGCUUGCUUUUCCUACUAAAUGGAAAUUAAGCUGAAAAAAAGGUUGCUUUGAAGCAGAUUAUAUAAGAUAUUCAUGAUGUUCGUGCAGAUCUCUUUGAUAGAUGGCUGAAGCAGCUCGCCACUGAAGCGCGCAAGGACAAAGAUAUGAAGCAACGUUCGAAGCACCAACCAGAGAGAAGUAGAGCUGAAAUAUGUUGUUUGGGUUGGUGGUGCGUACAGCUCUUCUGGCCCAGAGUGGUGAUACGCAAAUGGCUUAACAUCAGCACCAAGGACUCCGAUUUCAGCGCUGACGAGGACGACUUCGAUAUAGAUUCCGGUUCUGAUUCAGAUUCCGAGGCUGAAGGAUUUGGUCAACAGGGAAGACAAUCGCGGUUGAUGGGCAAAAAAGUGGAUGAUGCUAAGGUUGAUCUUGAAGAUGGUCUUCCAAUGUUAAGAAGAAGAAGAAAAUCAGAAACUUUUAGGGCACAAUAUAUAAACAACGAGGAAGUCAGAAUAUGCGUUGGGACAUGGAAUGUUGGAGGGAAACUUCCACCUGAUGACCUAGAUAUUGAUGAUUGGCUAAAUAUCAACGAGCCAGCUGAUAUAUAUGUGCUUGGUCUUCAAGAGAUUGUGCCAUUAAAUGCCGGGAAUAUCUUUGGUGCUGAAGAUAGUCGCCCAGUUCCAAGGUGGGAAAAGAUCAUCCGUGAAACACUGAAUCGAAUCCGGCCCAAGGAAACAAAUAUAAAAUCCUUUAGUGAUCCCCCCUCUCCAUCAAAAUAUAAGCCAUCUGAUGAUAUCCCAGAUAUAGAAGAGGAGUUUCUUGAAAGUGAUAGUGAUGUAGGUGAUGAAGUUCAUCCAUUGGAUGAAGAAUCCAAUGAUUUUGAUGAAGGUAAGGAUGGAUCAAUCACAGAGCAAACCACAUAUGUGAAUUCUGGAGUUUCAGAUUGUCCUGGAAGUGGCAAAUUAGGCUUUCCAGGAGAAGAAGAAUUACAGAGGCAAUUUUCUUCUCCAAAGAGGUUGGAGAGGUUAAAUUGUUUGAGGACAGAACAUUCAGAAAAUGUGGAAACAUCAGUUGCUCGAGACUGUGGCAAAUUUACCAAAAGUCUUAGUGGAUCAGAAAGGAUUGGUUUGAGCUGGCCAGAGCCUCCAUUAAACUUGAUAUCUCAGCGUGUAUUAGAGAGGCCUAAUUCCUUCAGAUCAGUUAAAUCUUUUAAAGCAUCCAAAUCUUUCACGACAUAUAGUUCUUUCAAGUCAACUACAAAUGAAGUGCCUGCACAGAUAGCACUGCUUGCAGAAAUUGACCUCAAAUCUCUCUUGAAGAGGAAGCGAAGAUCAUCAUUUGUAAGGAUGGUAAGCAAGCAGAUGGUUGGGAUUUUCCUCACUAUAUGGGCCCGUAGGAGCUUGCGUAGACAUAUUCAGAACUUAAAAGUGUCUACAGUUGGUGUUGGUGUUAUGGGCUACAUUGGUAACAAGGGAUCAAUAUCAGUCAGCAUGUCCAUACAUCAGACCUUUUUUUGUUUUAUAUGUACUCACCUGACAUCAGGUGAAAAAGAUGGAGAUGAACUAAAAAGAAAUGCUGAUGUGCAUGAAAUACUUCGGAGAACUCAAUUUCAAUCGGUUUCUGAUACUGGACUUCCUGGGAGCAUCCAUAAUCAUGAAAGAAUAAUUUGGUUGGGUGAUCUCAAUUACCGUAUAAACUUGCCUUAUGAGAAAACACAAGAACUAAUUUCCAAAAAGGAGUGGUCUAAGUUGGUUGAAAAGGACCAGCUUGUACGAGAACUUAAAAAGGGUCGUACAUUUGAUGGAUGGUCUGAAGGUACUUUAAGAUUCCCACCUACAUAUAAAUAUGAGAUCAAUUCAGAAAAGUACUAUGGAGAGGAUCCAAAAGCUGGAAGGCGUACACCAGCAUGGUGUGAUCGUGUUCUUUCAUAUGGCAAGGGACUGAAGCUACUAAGUUACAGGAGGACUGAGCUUAAACUUUCAGAUCACCGACCUGUGACUGCCACAUAUAUGGCUGAGGUUGAGGUGUUUUCUCCCAGGAAACUACAGCGGGCACUCACAUUCACUGAUGCAGAGAUCGAAAGGGAAGAUGUUAUAGCAAAUAUGGGUAUUGAUGCUGGAAUAAGCAGCUUAAUAUUGGGAGAGGCCUGAUUCUGGUGUGCUUCAUUUGGUGAUCUGAUGGAUUUGGUCAUGCUAUGGCAAGAUUGGUCAUCUUAUGUGCAAGCUGAGGCCAGAACUAAGCUUGAAAAUGAGAUUGAGCUAUAUUCUAGUUCUCCAUAGCUAAGGAAAUACAUGAUUGAGGGAGGAUUUCUCAACACUUAAGAGUGGCUUUGGGUGAGAGAUCCGGCAACUUAUGAAAUUCUCAAUAGCAUUACUACAUUUCACGUGCAUUCUUUCAAUUUCAUUUAUUGGUCAUUGAUAUUGUAUAUUGCAGUUAGUGUGUAAAGGUCUUAGCUAUAGGGGAUUUACCAAUUGGUCUCAUAGAGCAUAUUAGUUCUGAAGGCAGGUUCACACAAGUGGAUUAUUACUGUAAGUAGUGUGUAUUGGAGAUCACAGCUACGAGUGGAAAGUUCUCUAGUUGCUUAGAAAGUAGACCUUGUAAAAGACGGUUGAUGCUUAUUCUCAUGAGACAUUGCUGCUAUAUGCAGAUUUGUGCUAUUUACCUUCCAACUUUAGAUUCUUUUGAAAUUCUAUUGGGGAAUAUAUCUUAUGUUCCAAGAAUUUUUUUUA